CAAAGGGAAGUUGUGGGCCACAAAGGUGACAGAGAGGAGGACACCUGCCUCAAAAACAUAUGGGACAAUCUGGCCGUGAUGAGAUGUGAUCCGACAGCCAAAGCAUUCCCUGGAGAUCCAGCGGGUCGAGCAAUCGCUGCGUGAUUGUGUGCGAGCAGAAGGGAGGUCCUCUGAGUCAGCUCAUACUGCUGGCCAACUGUUUGCGUGGACAUGUGGGUGUGUGCUCCAAUUACUGAAGACGAGUGAGUUCGUGACUUUCACUUACAGAAGACUGAACUGCAUCGUGAUUCCUCUCCAAGACUGGUUAUAUGCCGAGCCAGGAUCAUGGACAGAGUCUAGAGCAACACAAACAUCACAAGGUUGAGUAAUACUGUCGGAUUGGCCCAGCAUUAGAAUAUUUGAAUAUUACGGAAAAUCUUAAGUUGCUAAAAUGAUGUUACUUAAAAUUUGUUACUACCAAGAUAGUUAAAAUCAAUUUUAUCAUCUAUAGUAAUUGAGAGAUGAUUUCCUUGUUUUCAGCUUUUCUGAGUUUCAGUUCAGUUUGACUUCAUUGAACGUAUUGUGUUAAGCAAAGUUUUUUUUAGUUUUUGGCUUUAAACAAAAUAAUUUUCCAAGUGUUUGUAUUUACGUGGUGCAAUAUACUUUAAAUUAAGCAGACAUUUAAAAAAAAUUUUCUUAUCACAUCAAACACGGUGAUGUGAGUCCAGU